AGCGAACGCUGGCGGCAGGCCUAACACAUGCAAGUCGAACGGACCCUUCGGGGUUAGUGGCGGACGGGUGAGUAACACGUGGGAACGUGCCUUUAGGUUCGGAAUAGCUCCUGGAAACGGGUGGUAAUGCCGAAUGUGCCCUUCGGGGGAAAGAUUUAUCGCCUUUAGAGCGGCCCGCGUCUGAUUAGCUAGUUGGUUGGGGUAAUGGCCCACCAAGGCGACGAUCAGUAGCGGGUCUGUGAGUAUGACCAGCCACAUUGGGACUGAGAAACGGCCCAAACUCCGACGGGAGGCAGCAGUGGGGAAUCUUGCGCAAUGGGCGAAAGCCUGACGCAGCCAUGCCGCGUGGAUGAUGAAGGUCUUAGGAUUGUAAAAUCCUUUCACCGGUGAAGAUAAUGACUGUAGCCGGAGAAGAAGCCCCGGCUAACUUCGUGCCAGCCGCCGCCGUAAGAC
rnacentral:rRNA from 1 species